GGUGGCUCAGUGGUAGAGCACUUGCCUCGCAUGCAUGAGGCUUUGGGUUCAAUUCCUCAGCACCA
rnacentral:tRNA from 1 species